UACGAAGGGGGCUAGCGUUGCUCGGAAUUACUGGGCGUAAAGGGCGCGUAGGCGGUCACGACAAGUCAGUUGUGAAAUCUCCGGGCUUAACUCGGAACGGUCAACUGAUACUGUCGGACUAGAGUGCAGAAGGGGCAACUGGAAUUCUCGGUGUAGCGGUGAAAUGCGUAGAUAUCGAGAGGAACACCUGCGGCGAAGGCGGGUUGCUGGGCUGACACUGACGCUGAGGCGCGAAAGCUAGGGGAGCGAACGGG
rnacentral:rRNA from 1 species